ACGCGAAAGUGGAGCAUCCAUGAGUAGAGUGGCAAACGGGUGAGUAACACGUGGGUGACCUGCCUUCGAGCGGGGGAUAACGUCCCGAAAGGGACGCUAAUACCGCAUGACAUCCUGCUCUUGAAGAGGCGGAGAUCAAAGCUGGGGAUCGCAAGACCUAGCACUCGAAGAGGGGCCCGCGCCUGAUUAGCUAGUUGGUGAGGUAACGGCUCACCAAGGCAACGAUCAGUAUCCGGCCUGAGAGGGCGGACGGACACACUGGGACUGAGACACGGCCCAGACUCCUACGGGAGGCAGCAGUGGGGAAUUGUUCGCAAUGGGCGCAAGCCUGACGACGCAACGCCGCGUGGAGGAUGAAGAUCUUCGGGUCGUAAACUCCUUUCGAUCGAGACGAACGGCUCCCGGGUGAACAACCCGGGGGAUUGACGGUACCGAGAGAAGAAGCCCCGGCUAACUCCGUGCCAGCAGCCGCGGUAAUACGGGGGGGGCAAGCGUUGUUCGGAAUUACUGGGCGUAAAGGGCUCGUAGGUGGCCAACUAAGUCAGACGUGAAAUCCCUCGGCUUAACCGGGGAACUGCGUCUGAUACUGGAUGGCUUGAGAUUGGGAGAGGGAUGCGGAAUUCCAGGUGUAGCGGUGAAAUGCGUAGAUAUCUGGAGGAACACCGGUGGCGAAGGCGGCAUCCUGGACCAACACUGACGCUGAGGAGCGAAAGCCAGGGGAGCAAACGGGAUUAGAUACCCCGGUAGUCCUGG
rnacentral:rRNA from 1 species